rnacentral:lncRNA from 1 species
AGAAUCCUAUCCCCGGCUGCUGGUCAGGAACACAGUGGAAAGAUCAGAGAAGAGGCCAGGGAGCAUAUGGGAUGAGUCUGCAGAGGCCUGGCCCUGAAGAGUGUGGAUCAAAGCACAGCCAAAGUAUGGUGGAGUUGUGGCCCUCCUAGCCUGGAAGACCCCCAGCAGGUGGGCCUAGCCUGAGAACCUCAGGUGGCAAGGGCAGGUGACGAAGGUAGCUGAAGAUGGCCUCGUCCACAGCCUGUGCACAUAAGAAAUGGUCCAGAAGAGAAGGUGAAGACAAGAUGCUCCUAAGGGACCAUCAGCCUCAGAAGGUAGCCACAGUGCAGUGGCCUACAGAGAGAAAACAGAGCAGCCAUGAGGACGGUCAAAUGAGGUUUCCAUUGUGCUAGAUGGUACAUCCAGCGUCCAGGAAAGUCUUCCCUUGUAUGGACCAGCUGCAUCCUGGUUGGAGGAGACUCUUCUGUCCUCAUCGCAUCCCUGCUAGGCUAAGAUUGUCACCCUCUGUGCUGAAGUCAGGAGGGCAUGCGUGUGCAUGUGUGUUCAUGUGUGUGCUUCUCAAUGAGAAGCCAGUGCCCGGAUUAGAGCCCUUUCAAAGCACCUAGAAGCUGGCACACUGGAUAGGGAGAUAUGCAGUCAGGUGUGACCAUUACAUUCAACAUUGUAUACUAGGAAGCUCAGUAGCCAGGGGGAAGGAAUGAGGGUACUGUCUGAAAGUAUUAGGUUCAUCUUAUAUUUGUGUCAGGAAAAAUGUUCUGCUGUGGUGCCGAUGACCAAGUAGUUACAGGCCCCUAGGUCAAAAUCAGAGAAAAGCUUACAGGAUUGGACACAUGGGCCCUUUUUUCAGCGACUCCAGGAUUUCUGCUGGGAAAUGCACUAGGUGCUCUUGGUCCUUCCUGUUGGCUACCCAUGCCCAGUCAUCAUUUCUCUAGCUGAGCCUGACUUUGGGUUUGGUCUUUGAAUCUGAAAUUUUUAGUCCUUAGUGCAUGGUCUUGUCUUAUUUAAAUGACUUCCUUCCCUUGACCCAUUUGCUGUACUCAGCACUGAAUGGCAGCAAUAGGGCUGUAUCAGCGGUGCUGCCACAGAUCUGAAGGUGACAGAAACCACUGUGUUAGUGACCGAUGGACCGUGUAAUGCAGGCAUCUCCAAGCUGUCUCAGGUCCAUGCUGCUCCCUGCCCACCAGCGCUCCUGGCCCAGCUCUAGGUGAACUUGCAAGAGAUCAGUAACUCAGUAGGAACAAAAAGUUGCACUGGAAACUCACCCCGCCUCACACCCCUUCGGUUCAGUGGGAACGUGGGUCUGCAUGUUGUGUGUGUGUCCGGAAUACUUCAUCAUACUCCCCACCCACCCACCCAACACUCUAAAUUACAGAACUUUGUUGUUUUUAAGAAAGGCUGUAUAAGAAAGAGAAGCAUGUAAAUAAGUCCCAGUGCUCAUUAAGUCGUUACUGUUUAUGUGUAAAGUAUAUGUACAUAGAAAGAAAAAUGGCUCAAUGAAUGUUAGGUAAAAUCCCCAAACCAAACUGCAUUUUUACCCAGCUCUGUUCCUGAAAGCACAUGCUUAGCUGGAAGGCUGUCCCUCCCUUGUCACCUGAUCCCAAAGUCAGAUCUGAACUUGGGGCAGGGAUGGGGGAGUAAAUUCGAGCCUUUGUUACUGAUUCUUGCUGCCAAUGAGCAUCUGAAGAGCCCAAGCACUUCAAAAGUAAGGUGCAUUUUCUAAAUCCCAGACUGAAUCUUUUAUCCCAAAUGCUGGGUUGGACAGGAUUCCCUCCCACGUUUGAGCUCCCGCUGCUAUCUCCUAAAACAGGGCAUCCGUGUGCCAUGGCACUGCCCUGGUGAAGCAAGAAGAGGGACCCUGACACAGCCCCCCAGGAUCUCGAACUGUGCCACUUGAGGUGUGGGCCUCGGCUUCACGUUGCAUGAAGUUGUCAGCCCGCUCACCCUGUGUGCAGCACAUGGAACAGCAUAAGCGUUUUCGUUUGUCUAAACUAGAAAUCCACGUAAACUGCAGAGUCCUUUGUGAACAGCCGUGUGGUGUCUACUUUGUUUCUCUGGUCUAGCGUCCUGUUGCUGAAGGCUGUGAUGGACAUCUUUGCCCUUGCAGACUCUGUAGCCUUCAGGAAACCUGAGUGCCUUAUGCAGCUUGUGAACACCGACUGGAAGUCAGGAGGGAGGGUGGAGAGUGGCUCUGAGGCACACUGAUCGAUCAGCUCUGGCCAUCACUCCACCAUCGAACCCUUUAAGGUGGGUUGUGUGUUAAAACACAGUCAUGGAUCUAAGUUUAGGCUCAGGAAAAUCACAUUGUGAGUAUAUGUAUCAAAGCAUAUAUUUAUUGUUAUCUUUUCUUAAAAAAGCUUUACUGUAAACUUAUGCAAAAAGGAGCAGAACUUGGCUUCUUGUGGCAAAGUGCCAGGCAGUAUUUGUGUUCGAUGAAGCGAUCCUCAACACAGCCCCUCUCAACACUCAACCUUUCCGUUCCGUGCUAAACAGUAUUCCCAGGCUUAAACUAGGUUUGUAUCGUGGUCAAUUAUAAAUUUUACACAUAUUUUUGUAUUGUGGUUCCUAUAAUAUAUACCAGAGAAUUUUUACUUAUUUGUAAAUUAUUGUACAGUUUUAAUAAAACUUGUUUUAAAUCC